ACUUUGGAAUCAAAGGCAGUGAAAAGCUGAUAUGUUUAAAUGGGCUAAGGAAAGUCUAAAACGUUCCUUGUGGAAACAAUAGAUGACCAACCUGGAGGGCAUAAAGGAGGAGUAAAUGGAGACGACUACAGCCUACCACUAUUGUAUGAGGGUGCGGACUGGGAGGAGCAAGUCCCUUGUGAAGAACGUAAAGACACUUUCCUAUGUCCUGGUGAUUGGAUUUGCAAGAAACAUACAUGCAUAAACGAAGCAUUUGGUAAACCAUGGGAAGUCAGAGAUAUUCCUUGUGCUGAGCGAACUGGGGAAUUUGAAGUCCUGAAUAUACAACAUGUGACAACAACUACUGUGCUCAUAAAGACUGCAAAGCCCAUGACGAUUGUCCUGGGGAAAUUAAUUGUUGGCAUGGAUUUUGCGCCCAGGGUGCAACAAAAGAUGAUGACCCAACACCUUUUGAGGAAUUAUAUAGUGAUGCAGAAGAUGCCUCUACUACUCUGGCACCAGUGAACUGGGGACAUGAUAAAUGCGAGACAGAUUCAGACUGUCCUAAGCCUUAUAAUACAUGUUCGAUACCAAAAGUGGGUCAUGGGAUUUGUGGGCUAAUACUUGUUUAGGUAGAUUUGGAAGCAAUGCAGUUGAAUAUAGCCAACCUUAUAAAAUUUGGUGAUGGUAAUGGACCAAACCUCUGUAGAGUAAAAAAAAGUAGAUAUUAGGUCCACAUUUAUUGAAAAAAUAUUUCGAUCUGGGUUGACCGUCGUCAGUUUAAACGAUAUAAUAAUAUGGCCAACCUGUUGUAAUAGUAAUCAUUGCAUUGUCUUCAAAACUUGAAAAAUAAAUUUAAACAUAUAUUUUAUGAAACUAA
rnacentral:misc_RNA from 1 species